rnacentral:rRNA from 1 species
UACGUAGGUGACAAGCGUUGUCCGGAUUUACUGGGCGUAAAGAGCGCGCAGGCGGUCGAUCAAGUCGAGUGUGAAAGCCCCCGGCUCAACUGGGGAGGGUCAUUCGAUACUGAUCGACUCGAAGGGAGGAGAGGGUAGUGGAAAUUCCCGGUGUAGUGGUGAAAUGCGUAGAUAUCGGGAGGAACACCAGUGGCGAAGGCGACUACCUGGCCUGUUCUUGACGCUGAGGCGCGAAAGCUAGGGGAGCAAACGGGG